rnacentral:rRNA from 1 species
UGUAGUUACUACUUUGUAGUUUAAAUUUCUAGGUAGAAUUAUGAUGAUGACAUUAUCUAUCUAUAGGUCUUGACCAAAUUACGUGCCAGCAGUCGCGGUAAUACGUAGAAGACAAGUGUUAUUCAUCUUUAUUAGGUUUAAAGAGUACCAAGACGGUUAAUAAAGCCCAAAAUACAUGAGCACAGGGGACACAUUAACUAGAGUUAUAUGAAAGGAAGCAAUAAGGUACUGUUGAGUGUAGAGAUAAAAUUCAGUAAUACCAGAUUAAAGGCACAGAUUUAUGCGAAGGCAUCUUCUUAUGUAAUAACUGACGUUGUAGGACGAAGGCUUUUGGAGUGAAGAGGAUUAGAGACCCUUGUAAUCUAAGCAGAAAAUGAUGAAUGUCAUAGGUUUAAUAUAAUUGGGUCUAUAAAUGAAAGUGUAAGCAUUCCACCUCAAGAGUAAUUUGGCAACAUUGGAACUGAAAUCAUUAGACCGUUUCUGAAACCAGUAGUGAAGUAUGUUGUUUAAUUAGAUGAUACGCAAAAAACCUUACCACAAUUUGAAUAUAUAUCAUUAAUGAUAUUUACAAGCGUUGCACGGCUGUCUUCAGUUAAUGUCGUGAGAUUUUGGUUAGUUCCAUAAAAUUAACGUAAACCCUCGUUUUAUUUAUAAAUAAAAUU